rnacentral:lncRNA from 1 species
CAAAGAGGCUUCCUACCUCCAAAGGCUAUAAUAACCAGAACAGAUCUAAUCGAACCAACAGAAAGCUUUUACUACCAAAGUAAUCGCUUUCUACAUACUGGCAACCAGAUAAAACUACAUCCUCAUCUGAAAAACUUUAUCAAGAUAUAUAAAAUAUAACAUUAUUAACCUGUUAAUAUAUAAGCAAAUAAAAUCAUUUUUAACUUUA